rnacentral:rRNA from 1 species
UACGUAGGGAGCAAGCGUUGUCCGGAAUCAUUGGGCGUAAAGCGCGCGUAGGUGGCUUCGUAAGUCCGUUGUGAAAGUCAAAGGCUCAACCUUUGAAAGCCGAUGGAUACUGUGAAGCUAGAGUACGGAAGAGGGAAGCGGAAUUUCCGGUGUAGCGGUGAAAUGCGUAGAUAUCGGAAGGAACACCAGUGGCGAAAGCGGCUUCCUGGUCCAGCACCGACGUUCAGGCACGAAAGCGUGGGGAGCAAACAGG